ACAGGAAACUCCCUGCCACCUCCCUGUCCCCUCUUCCCAGGGCACAACCCCAGGGGAUCCAGACGAGGGGAGGAGGGGAAGUGAUGGGGCAGACACACCCCUUCCCUUCCCAGCAGGCACCUGCGGAUCUCUAGAGCCGAGAGUCAAACCUGAACCGGGAAGGGGAGGCAUGACACUUGAGUUCUUAAUCACAUUAGUCCGGAUUUUAACAGAGGAAAGUGAAUGGACUGCCGUUCCAGAUAUCUGGGGAUACAAGAGCAAGAGAACGUGGUUUCAAGUGAUGAUGGAAUAAAAAUAAAACCUCUUCAUGUUUGCUGCCCACAGAGAGCAAAACCACUUCUCUGAACACAGAGGCAGGGUCCUGAGAGAGGAGCUGCUGAAUAAUGCAGGGGCCAACCUCCUGGAAGGAGUCCAGCAGCCCGGGUGAGCCAAGGUAACGGCGGGAGCUGACGGACAGGCCGGGCAGCGCUGCAUCACUCUCAAGGAACAAGCAGCUUCUGUGCCACUCAGUUUUGAGAUAUGACACAUCGCACAUUUAAUGUGCACAGCAGGACGACUUGACACACAUAAGUACUGCAAAAUGGUCACCACAGUAAGUUCAGUUAACAUCUAUCACCUCACAUAGUAACGAAAAUUUUUCCUUGCCAUGAGGACUUUUAGUAUUCACUCUUUCAAAUGUGGCUUUUUAAACUAUGAUCAUGAUGUUGUACGUUACACCUGUAACACGUACUUAUAACUGGAAGCUUGUACCUUUCGACCACGUUCACCAGUUCCCCCAUGUGUGGAAAGAAAAGUGUUUGCAUUACAUUCACCAAAACUGGAAAGAAGAGGCUGGAGCACAAAAGAGGGAGGGCACUGUCCCCUCCCACCCCACUACAGCAGCAGGGCUGGGAUUUGUGUGUCCUGGCACCAGGAAGAAGAAUGAAGUCCCCGCUUCAGCGCGCACAGCGGCUACAAGAAACAAACAAUAAACCUAUUUUGCACAUUGACUGAUCUGACUCCAAGGGUUGGCAAUGUCUCCAGUGUUUAGAGAGCAAAGACCCAGCUUACGUAAGUGCUGAACUUAAGAGCUGAGGGCCCCAACCGGAGACUAGGGACGCCAUGACGUUUGUGACAAGCAGAAACGAAAAUAUCAGAUGCCACAUGGAUGAGGAACUCCGGUGCAGGAGAAACGCGUUAUUUAACAAUCUGCCACUGAAUGAACAAAAACCAGCUGAAAUCAAGCUAGAGGCAGCCAAGAACACACCGCUGAAGUCAUCACGGAGCGCUACCAAGAUUGGCUGGGGACUGCAGAGCUAAUUGUAGAAUCAGCAACAAACUUGAACAUAAACAAGCCAUCCAACCACCUGCACGGGUCUUUUUUCUAUCUACAACUGAAUUCAACUGGGGAGGGAAGCAGUGUUGGCAGCACCUACUCCAGGUUGGACCCACGGAGACGCUGGGAUGCAACCAGGGCAGGUGCCCAGGUACAAACACACCAAUUCUCCAGAUGCUCAAGGAUUUCACCAGUUGAUUAAAAGCAACUCCCUUAAGCUCCCCGCCGACCCCCUUCCUCGAACACCGGUGGAUGCCUCCUUAUACAGCAGCAGGAAGAUUUCCUCACAGGGAAAGGAUGAUUUUUCAGAGCCAGGUACAAUCAUGACUCUCACACAGAUGUAACACCAGGUCAAAGACUGAACUCAUUAAUUCAUGGGGGAACUGGAAAGCUCUCAUAAACACCUCAAAGGAGAAUCCCAGGACCAGACUGAACAAACCUAAGCCCAUCAGGAAACAAAUCUGCUUGAGGGAUGCAAAGCUAGCUUCUUCCACAGUGGAGAUGAAGUCAAUUCAACCUCUAGAGCACAAAAAACUUCCUGCAUGUCUACAGGUAAGAAUUAUGUGCAUUAUAUCAGUAUCGUACAAGCUAAGGGCUACAGAGUGAACUCGAUCUAGUCAUCUCUAGAGGUGUAAAAUAACUCAAAGACAAUUAAAAGCACAAACCCAGUAGAAUCAGGGAACUCUGAAAGGUAUGCUCUAAACACAGUUUGCCACUGAAGACGCUGGGAAAUCUUUUGGCCUAAUUUAAAGCCUUUUACGACUUUUGGGCUCUGAUCUUUCCACCUUGAUCAAGAAUAAUCCCAAAGGAGCCACCCCCACAGGGCUAGCCUCGUUAGAUUUGGCCUCAUCGUGUGUGGAGGUGCAGGGGUGGGACUCAGCGGGCAGGCUGCCUCCAAGAUGUGCUACUCUGGCCUGUGGAUUAUUUUGAGCUGUGAACA